UACGUAGGGGCCUAGCGUUGUCCGGAUUCAUUGGGCGUAAAGCGCGGGCAGGCGGCCCGCUCAGUCGGCCGUGAAAGCGCCGGGCUCAACUCGGCGAGGUCGGGCGAUACUGGCGGGCUGGAGGCUGGUAGAGGGCGGUGGAAUUCCGGGUGUAGUGGUGGAAUGCGUAGAGCUCCGGAGGAACACCAGUGGCGAAGGCGGCCGCCUGGGCCAGUCCUGACGCUGAGCCGCGAAAGCGUGGGGAGCGAUCCGG
rnacentral:rRNA from 1 species